CCUACGGGGGCUGCAGUCGAGAAUUUUUCACAAUGGGGGCAACCCUGAUGGAGCGACGCCGCGUGGAGGAUGAAGGUUUUCGGAUUGUAAACUCCUGUCACUACAGAACAAGACUACUAUUAAUAAUACUUUUGGUAGUUGAUGGUAUGUGGAGAGGAAGGGACGGCUAACUCUGUGCCAGCAGCCGCGGUAAUACAGAGGUCCCGAGCGUUGUUCGGAUUCAUUGGGCGUAAAGGGUGUGUAGGAGGUUGGGUAAGUCGAGUGUGAAAUCUCAC
rnacentral:rRNA from 1 species